AGACACCCUUCUGGGGCAAGACUUGCCUCAGUGGGGCUUUGGUGUUCACUGAGUCUGCUCCCUGAGUGUGUCCCU
rnacentral:pre_miRNA from 1 species